GACGAACGCUGGCGGCGCGCUUAACACAUGCAAGUCGAACGGAAAGGCCUGCUUUCCCUUGUGGAUUGCGGGUACUCGAGUGGCGAACGGGUGGGUAACACGUGAGUGAUCUGCCCCCAACUUGGGUAUAAGCCUGGGAAACUGGGUCUAAUUCCCGAUAGGACUGCAGGGUGGUGCCUGUGGUGGAAAACGAUUUUCUAGUGGUUGGGGAUGAGCUCGCGGCCUAUCAGCUUGUUGGUGGGGUAAUGGCCUACCAAGGCGGCGACGGGUAGCCGGCCUGAGAGGGUGGACGGCCACAUUGGGACUGAGAUACGGCCCAGACUCCUACGGGAGGCAGCAGUGGGGAAUAUUGCACAAUGGGCGGAAGCCUGAGGCAGCGACGCCGCGUGGGGGAUGACGGCCUUCGGGUUGUAAACUCCUUUCGACCGCGAGGAAGCCACCUGGUUGGAAGGGUGGUGACGGUAGUGGUAGAAGAAGCACCGGCUAACUACGUG
rnacentral:rRNA from 1 species